rnacentral:misc_RNA from 1 species
GAUGAAGAAACGCAGUGAAAUGCGAUACUUGGUGUGAAUUGCUGAAUCCCGUGAACCAUCGAGUCUUUGAACGCAAGUUGCGCCCGAAGCCAUUAGGCCGAGGGCACGCCUGCCUGGGCGUCACACGUCGUUGCCCCCCCCAUCUACUCCUUCGGGAUUGCGGGGGGCGGAUGAUGGUCUCCCGUGCACCUCGUCGCGCGGUUGGCAUAAAUGCCAAGUCCUCGGCGACGCACGCCACGACAAUCGGUGGUUGCGAAACCUCGGUUGCCCGUCGUGUGCGGUCGUCGCGCAUCGAGGGCUCGAAAAAAUUGCCGGGCUCCGGCUCGGCUUUCAACGCGACCCCAGGUCAGGCGGGGUUACCCGCUGAAUUUAAGCAUAUCAAUAAGCGGAGGA